GCACCCGUAGCUUAAUAGGAUAGAGCAAUUCCCUUCUAAGGAAUAGGUUGUGCGUUCGAUUCGCACCGGGUGCACCA
rnacentral:tRNA from 1 species